rnacentral:rRNA from 1 species
GACGAACGCUGGCGGCGUGCUUAACACAUGCAAGUCGAACGGAAAGGCCCUGCUUUUGUGGGGUGCUCGAGUGGCGAACGGGUGAGUAACACGUGAGUAACCUGCCCUUGACUUUGGGAUAACUUCAGGAAACUGGGGCUAAUACCGGAUAGGAGCUCCUGCUGCAUGGUGGGGGUUGGAAAGUUUCGGCGGUUGGGGAUGGACUCGCGGCUUAUCAGCUUGUUGGUGGGGUAGUGGCUUACCAAGGCUUUGACGGGUAGCCGGCCUGAGAGGGUGACCGGCAAGAUGGGGCGGGUGAUGCGGGCGAUGGCGCGAGGGGAGGGAGAGGGGGGGAGUAUGGCACAGGGGGCGGGAGCUGGAGGCAGCGAGGCGGGGGGGGGGAGGGCGCCCGGCGGGUUGGCACCCGCGUUCGGUGGUGAGGAGGAGGGGGUGAUGGGGGUGGGAAAAGAAGCCCCGGGAAACGACGUGCCAGCAGCGGGGGUAAGACUAGGAAGAGCACAGGUCUGAAC